rnacentral:lncRNA from 10 species
GGAAGAUAAACAUAUAACCCAUUGGAUUCUCUUUUCCAAUAUCUAGAUUAGAUCCUGUGCUGAAAGAGAAACCAAGAAAAAAGAUGACAUUCCAGAAGAAGACAAAGGAAAUGUAAAACAAUGUGAAAUCAAUUAUGUAAAGAAAUUUCAGAGCUUCCAAGACCACAAACUUAAAAUAAGUAAAGAAGCAGUAAAAUUCUUAAAAAGAUGCAGAAAGAUGGAUUUUUGCAUGAGAUGCUUCUGGACAGUACUCCAGGUCAUUCUGAAGCAAGUGAUACAAACCACAGAAUGAGGAACACCGCCUUCAAGAGACUGAAUCUUGCUUCCCAACACUAGCUUGGUAUCUGAGACCAUCUGCCUGCUGACUGGCUUUCCUGGCACAAACAUUCUGCAUGUAGGCACAGUGUGUUCCUGGACUCCAUGUCAACCCGUUCACCCUCAUGUUCCCUUGGUUCCUGUCCCCAGUCCAGCGAGCAGAACUGAUUACAGAUCUUGACAACAGAAGAUACAGAUUUAAAAUAACUUGCCUGUUCCCGUGGACUUUAUCCACUAGUGAAGGAGGACAAGUGGACAAGGGGAGAGGGUAGGUGGGGGCUUCUUCCCUAUUCCUCCCAUUCCACUUUAUACAAACCCCAGCUAGAUCACUGGGAGAGCAACGGGGGUUAAGAAUGACUCCAUCUAAAUAUUGUCAUCUGGUCCACUCUUCUUCCAUCUUGUACACAAGGAUAUCAUGAGUUUUGUUUAAAUUACUGGGAAUUUCGUCUGCUCAGUGUUUGUUUUGUCUGCAGCCAUUCCCAGAAUUCUAGGGCAAGACUAGCUUCUUUGCCAAUGGGGU